UCCUCCUGAAAGACAUGGGUAGUGAGAUGUUCUUACGCAAUCGCGUCUCACUAUCUUGUCUUUCAUGCGGCG
rfam:Acromyrmex echinatior unplaced genomic scaffold scaffold447, whole genome shotgun sequence.